GACGAACGCUGGCGGCGUGCUUAACACAUGCAAGUCGAACGGAGAUUAUUAAUGAAGCUUGCGAUUUAAUAAUCUUAGUGGCGGACGGGUGAGUAACGCGUGGGCAACCGAACCAUAAGCGGGGGAUAACACUUGGAAACAGGUGCUAAUACCGCAUAAUUCUUUUCUUCGCCUGAAGGGAAUGAAAGACGCUUUUGCGUCACUGAUGGAU
rnacentral:rRNA from 1 species